rnacentral:rRNA from 1 species
UACGAAGGGUGCAAACGUUGCUCGGAAUCAUUGGGCGUAAAGCGCACGUAGGCGGCUUGCCAAGUCGGACGUGAAAUCCCUCAGCUCAACUGAGGACGUGCAUCCGAAACUGGCGAGCUUGAGUACUGAAGAGGAUCGCGGAAUUCCCGGUGUAGAGGUGAAAUUCGUAGAUAUCGGGAGGAACACCAGUGGCGAAGGCGGCUAUCUGGACGACAACUGACGCUGAGGCGCGAAAGCGUGGGGAUCAAACAGGG